AUUGAACGCUGGCGGCAGGCCUAGCACAUGCAAGUCGAGCGGAUGAAGGGAGCUUGCUCCUGGAUUCAGCGGCGGACGGGCGAGUAAUGCCUAGGAAUCUGCCUGGUAGUGGGGGAUAACGUCCGGAAACGGGCGCUAAUACCGCAUACGUCCUGAGGGAGAAAGUGGGGGAUCUUCGGACCUCACGCUAUCAGAUGAGCCUAGGUCGGAUUAGCUAGUUGGUGGGGUAAAGGCCUACCAAGGCGACGAUCCGUAACUGGUCUGAGAGGAUGAUCAGUCACCCUGGACCUGGGACACGGUCCAGCCUCCUACGGGAGGCGGCAGUGGGAAAUAUGGACAAUGGGCGAAAGCCUGAUCCAGCCAUGCCGCGUGUGUGAAGAAGGUCUUCGGAUUGUAAAGCACUUUAAGUUGGGAGGAAGGGCAGUAAGUUAAUACCUUGCUGUUUUGACGUUACCAACAGAAUAAGCACCGGCUAACUUCGUG
rnacentral:rRNA from 1 species